AUAAUAAUUUUAAAAAAAUUAAUAAAGAUAUAAUAGAAUUUUUAAAUACAAGUGGACAAUCAAAUUAGUUUAGUUUUUAAACUACAACAGGUAAUGCUUACGAAAAACUUUAAUAAUUUAGCUUUUAAGGUACAACUACUCAACUUUAAUCUCAAAUUAACCCUAAAUUGCUAUUAUAUUGUAAAUGCAAUAAUAUUCUCUUGAAUUAUCAUAAACAUCAUAUAAACUUUAGUCGAAAGUACUUAAAAAAGAAGAAGAAGAAGAUAACCUUCCAAAAAGACCCCCACAGCAAACAAUUAUGCAAGGAUAUUGACUAUUCUGCUAUGUCAAGGCCGCAUUCUCGACCAAUGAUUGCAGUAAUCGCAGUGGGCUGGUAAAGCCCAUUUGUAGUCAUUGGGGUGUUUGGGCUGUUGGGCCUCCAGAAUCAAUAAAUCGUAGAGUGUAGUCGGAUCCCACUUGAGGCUGUGAUUUUUUUUUUUAAUUAUUCGGAAUAAUUCUUU
rnacentral:lncRNA from 1 species